UACGUAGGGCGCAAGCGUUUAUCCGGAAUUAUUGGGCGUAAAGAGCUCGUAGGCGGUUUGUCGCGUCUGCUGUGAAAACCCGAGGCUCAACCUCGGGCCUGCAGUGGGUACGGGCAGACUAGAGUGCGGUAGGGGAGAAUGGAAUUCCUGGUGUAGCGGUGAAAUGCGCAGAUAUCAGGAGGAACACCGGUGGCGAAGGCGGGUCUCUGGGCCGAUACUGACGCUGAGGAGCGAAAGCGUGGGGAGCGAACAGG
rnacentral:rRNA from 1 species